rnacentral:rRNA from 1 species
UACGUAGGGACCAAGCGUUGUUCGGAUUUACUGGGCGUAAAGGGCGCGUAGGCGGUGUGGUAAGUCACUUGUGAAAUCUCUGAGCUUAACUCAGAACGGCCAAGUGAUACUGCAGUGCUAGAGUGUGGAAGGGGCAAUCGGAAUUCUUGGUGUAGCGGUGAAAUGCGUAGAUAUCAAGAGGAACACCUGAGGUGAAGACGGGUUGCUGGGCCAACACUGACGCUGAUGCGCGAAAGCCAGGGGAGCAAACGGG